rnacentral:tRNA from 1 species
UAGAGGAUGCCUGAUAAAAAGGGAUAUUUUGAUAGAAUAUAUAAUGUAAUUUUUACUUCUCUAA